rnacentral:rRNA from 1 species
GACGAACGCUGGCGGCGUGCUUAACACAUGCAAGUCGAACGGUGAAGCGCUUUCCUUUUUGGUUGGUGUGGAUGAGUGGCGAACGGGUGAGUAACACGUGAGUAACCUGCCCCCUUCUUCUGGAUAACCGCAUGAAAGUGUGGCUAAUACGGGAUAUUCUGCGCCUGCUGCAUGGUGGGUGUGGGAAAGAUUGUGCCUUUGGGUGUGUUCGGUGGGGGAUGGGCUCGCGGCCUAUCAGCUUGUUGGUGGGGUGAUGGCCUGCCAAGGCGGUGACGGGUAGCCGGCCUGAGAGGGUGGACGGUCGCACUGGGACUGAGACACGGCCCAGACUCCUACGGGAGGCAGCAGUGGGGAAUAUUGCCCAAUGGGCGCAAGCCUGAUGCAGCGACGCCGCGUGAGGGAUGGAGGCCUUCGGGUUGUGAACCUCUUUCGCCAGUGAAGCAGGCCUGCUCCUUGUGGGUGGGUUGACGGUAGCUGGAUAAGAAGCGCCGGCUAACUACGU